rnacentral:rRNA from 1 species
UACGUAGGGGGCAAGCGUUGUCCGGAUUUAUUGGGCGUAAAGAGCGUGUAGGCGGCCUGACAGGUCUGCUGUGAAAACUCGAGGCUCAACCUCGAGAUGUCGGCGGAAACCGUCUGGCUAGAGUCCGGAAGAGGAGAGUGGAAUUCCUGGUGUAGCGGUGAAAUGCGCAGAUAUCAGGAAGAACACCUAUGGCGAAGGCAGCUCUCUGGGACGGUACUGACGCUGAGACGCGAAAGCCGUGGGGAGCGAACAGG